rnacentral:rRNA from 1 species
CUCGGGUAGGGGGUCCCGAACUGUGCGUCUAGGCGGAUGGUAACAGGAGACAAGGGACACGAUGUUUUUACCCAGGUUCGUGCCCUCUCGAUGGAGGUAAAACCCUACUCCUGCUUGAUUAAUAUUGAUGAUAUGGGUAGUACAAGAGUAGAUCUACCACGAGAUCAAAGAGGCUAAACCCUAGAAGCUAGCCUAUGGUAUGAUUGUUGUUCGUCCUA